CACGUAAGGGGCGAGCGUUGUUCGGAAUUAUUGGGCGUAAAGCGCGCGCAGGCGGUUUUACAAGUCUGGUGUGAAAUAUCUGGGCUCAACUCAGAAAACGCGCUGGAAACUGUAAGACUAGAGUCUUGGAGGGGGAGCUGGAAUUCCUAGUGUAGGGGUGAAAUCUGUUGAUAUUAGGAAGAACACCGGAGGCGAAGGCGAGCUCCUGGCUGAAGACUGACGCUGAGGCGCGAAAGCGUAGGUAGCAAACAGG
rnacentral:rRNA from 1 species